GACGGGGACCCGCACAAGCGGUGGAUGAUGUGGAUUAAUUCGAUGCAACGCGAAAACCUUACCUACCCUUGACAUGUCCGGAAUCCCGAAGAGAUUUGGGAGUGCUCGCAAGAGAGCCGGAACACAGGUGCUGCAUGGCUGUCGUCAGCUCGUGUCGUGAGAUGUUGGGUUAAGUCCCGCAACGAGCGCAACCCUUGUCAUUAGUUGCCAUCAUUUGGUUGGGCACUCUAAUGAGACUGCCGGUGACAAACCGGAGGAAGGUGGGGAUGACGUCAAGUCCUCAUGGCCCUUAUGGGUAGGGCUUCACACGUCAUACAAUGGUCGGUACAGAGGGUUGCCAACCCGCGAGGGGGAGCUAAUCCCACAAAGCCGAUCGUAGUCCGGAUCGCAGUCUGCAACUCGACUGCGUGAAGUCGGAAUCGCUAGUAAUCGUGGAUCAGCAUGUCACGGUGAAUACGUUCCCGGGUCUU
rnacentral:rRNA from 1 species